AUUUCUUCCCUUCAGCACUGUUUUUUUUUUUUUUUUUAAUCUAUUUCUGCUGUUUGAUGCCCUGUUGUUUGUGUUUUUUUUUCUUCUGCUGCAGUUUAGCUCAUAUAGGGUGAUGAAGAUCAUUAUUAUGCAUUACUUUUUCUUUCUUUAAUUUAUGUAUUAGUAUUAAAACAGACUGAAUUAUGCCCGAUCAUAACAAAGAUAUAGGUGCCUGGGCAGAAAAUGUGAUGAAGGAGCUGCUUGCAUCCAUCCUACACUCUGAAGUCCCUGUAGGAUCCUCAGAGAUUUUGUGCUUAUUUUAGUUAUAAUACACGUUAGACUGUGAAGAGGACGGGAAGCAAACAGAACUACCUUUCUGGGUCUGCAGGAUUCCUUAAACAAUAGCUCUGAGAAGAAAAGUCUGCUUUUAAUCCCUCUCUGCGUCACAGAAAGGACUGGACAAUCUCUAGUUUUCAAAUGUCCUUUAAGGGUGGCAUACUUCUAACCCUUAAGAUGUGCAAUCUGUAUGCAGUAACUGCCAGUGCCCUUAUUAGACAUGCAUCCUGCAGCACCUGUGACCUGCAAGGAAGAUGGCUUGCUCUUCAUGCUGUAAUCUAGUGAGUGAUGCUGCCACAGAGCUAGGAGGUGGCUGUACUCUGGCUGUGUGCAAAUAAUCCUGACAGGAGGAGGAGAUGCAGAUUCCAGUGGAGCAGAAAUAGAUCUAUGGCCACCCUCUGGCUGAAAGUGUGGGUGUUACUUCCCUCCUCUGCACAUCUUUCAGUUGAGAUAAAAUGGUGUACCAAAAAUUAACUUAAAAAAUCCCUGUCUCCUCAGCUAAAUAUUUAUGCAAUAAUCCCUAUGGCCUAGAAGGGAAGAAUACACUAGGGAGCACAAGGCUUUUACCUCUGCUUGAAACCCUGGGCUAUCCCAAAUUAUCUGAACUUUGCAGGUGGGAUGGUGGUUUUUACCCUCCCAGGGAAACCAUUUUCACCUGGGCUUGUGACUGUGCUCUACCUCUUUUAACAUAGCAGAAAGGGCAUCUCAGCCUAAAUUUUCUUACUGUGCUUUGAGAUGCUUGUGGAAAUGCCUGUUGUGUUUAUGGGUCUGCCAACAGUAAAAGGAAGAAAAGAUUCUCAUGGUAAGUCUGAAGGUUUGGCUUUCAGACGAAGAAUUAGAAGUAAGAGGCAGCAGGUAAAACAGAUCUCACAUGGACUCUGGCUUAAAUUUAAAGACAAGUUGAUUUACUUAUUUGAUUGGGCUUAAAAUAUCUAACAUAAUUUUGGGAAAAUGAUCAUGGUCUACUAAGUCAGAAGAGCCCAGAAAGCUGGUAAAAUAAAAAUGUCAUGGUGUGGUGAAGGUUGGCUUUCCUCAAAUGAUUUUUUUCUUAAACCUGGGAGAGCCUGGACAUAUGCUGAGGUACUCAGCCUGAUUAAUGCUACUAGGUAUUCACCAGCCUUCACCACAAAAUCCCUUCUCAGACAGUAAUACCAAAUAUUCUUGCUUUUUUAAUUACUUAAAAAUAUAUAUUUGUAGUAUGAUAUAGGAAACAAACGAUCUUGGAGGUGGUUAUCUGAAUCAUUUUAUUAUAAACACUGAACAAUUAAAUUCAAAGUAUUUAUAGACAUUUGAUUGAACGUUUCAAAUAAAUACAGUUUUUCAUUUGAUGCUUUCUUUUCAGGAGACUAUGUUGAAAUAUCCUUUGUAUCAUAAAAUUUAAUGCUCUGCUUUAGUAGUUUCAAAGCUCAAGUAUUUAUGCUUAUGGAUAGACACAUGUAGACAUAGCAGAAAUUCUGUCCCAAGUGAUUCUGACACAGCACCUCUUUUCCUUUGGCCAUAGCAGGGUUCAGUCAUACUUGGUCCCACUUUGCAUGAGCCCUCAGAGGUCAGUGCUUCAUUUGCAUGAUUUUAAUAACCUGUGCAACCCAGUGAGUUCACACUAUGUAGAACUGGAAAGAGAUUUGUUGGUGUGAAGAUUUCUCACUGCAAGGGCAGAAGGAAUUCAGAGGAGGGAGGGGAAAAAUAUAUUGCAUAUGUGUGCUGUGUAGGAAGUGUAUUUGGGACUAAGGAGAUUCCCUGAGAACAGAAAAGGGAUAAUUCUGAGUAGAUGAAUUAGCAGAACAGAUUUGGAAGCUUGGUCCAGGAAAAAUGUUGGAGCUGGGGAGGGAGGGAUAGAGUAAUAUUGCAACAGUAUCGAAAGAAUCAUCCUCACUGGAAAAGAGGUUGUGGGUUUUUUAUUAUUAUUAUUAUUAUUUUAAUUUUUUAAUGACUCCAGAUUCUGUUGUGUGCCUCAUGUCUGAAAACAUAGGCUGAUCAAAUUGUGUAGCAGGUUGUUAUCAAGGUCUCACUGUCCACAAUUAGCAACAUCCUAAGCUUUUAUUUUGGUGGAGAUGAUGUUCUGAUCUGGUUUGUCUUCUGCUUUCAGCAAUUGUUACACUUGUUUCUAGGAUUUUAUCCCAUACAAGUUUAAAUACAAGUAAACUUGAGCAGAAAAUGUAUUUUAAUUCAAUAAAUUGUUGAUCUAUUCUUCAAAUAUGUUGGGAUGUUUUACUAAAGAGUCAACCCCGUGUUGCUGUGCAAUACGCAGAAUCCUCGCUGAAC
ensembl:lncRNA